rnacentral:rRNA from 1 species
GAUGCUAAUACCGGAUAACAACACUAGACGCAUGUCUAGAGUUUGAAAGAUGGUUCUGCUAUCACUCUUGGAUGGACCUGCGGUGCAUUAGCUAGUUGGUAAGGUAACGGCUUACCAAGGCAAUGAUGCAUAGCCGAGUUGAGAGACUGAUCGGCCACAUUGGGACUGAGACACGGCCCAAACUCCUACGGGAGGCAGCAGUAGGGAAUCUUCCACAAUGGACGAAAGUCUGAUGGAGCAACGCCGCGUGAGUGAAGAAGGGUUUCGGCUCGUAAAGCUCUGUUGGUAGUGAAGAAAGAUAGAGGUAGUAACUGGCCUUUAUUUGACGGUAAUUACUUAGAAAGUCACGGCUAACUACGUGCCAGCAGCCGCGGUAAUACGUAGGUGGCAGGCGUUGUCCGGAUUUAUUGGGCGUAAAGCGAGUGCAGGCGGUCCAAUAAGUCUGAUGUGAAAGCCUUCGGCUCAACCGGAGAAUUGCAUCAGAAACUGUUGAACUUGAGUGCAGAAGAGGAGAGUGGAACUCCAUGUGUAGCGGUGGAAUGCGUAGAUAUAUGGAAGAACACCAGUGGCGAAGGCGGCUCUCUGGUCUGCAACUGACGCUGAGGCUCGAAAGCAUGGGUAGCGAACAGGAUUAGAUACCCUGGUAGUCCAUGCCGUAAACGA